rnacentral:misc_RNA from 1 species
GAUGAAGAACGUAGCGAAAUGCGAUAAGUAGUGUGAAUUGCAGAAUUCAGUGAAUCAUCGAAUCUUUGAACGCACAUUGCGCCCCUCGGUAUUCCGUGGGGCAUGCCUGUUCGAGCGUCAUUACGACCCCUCGGGCCCCCGGGCCCGGUGUUGGGCCUCGCCGCGAGGCGGGCCUCGAAGCCGUCGGCGGCGGGCGCGGCCCCGUAGCGAGUGACGCACUCACCGCCACGGGACGCCCCGCCGACCUCACCCACCAAACGAUCGAAGUCGACCUCGGAUCAGGCGGGGAUACCCGCUGAACUUAAGCAUAUCAAUAAGCGGAGGA